rnacentral:misc_RNA from 1 species
CUUCCUUGGUGCUCAUUUUGCCUCGAAACAUGGCAGAGGCGGUGAGGUAACGACCGUGGCGAGGGUCGGCUGCGCACAUCAUGUUCUUGGCGUCCCACAUUUGUUGGGUGAGCUCCGGGAUAGAGAGGGCGCGGUAUUGUUGGGAGCCGCGGGAGGUGAGAGGGGUGAAGCCGACCAUGAAGAAGUGGAGGCGAGGGAAGGGGAUGAGGUUGACAGCCAGCUUGCGGAGGUCGGAGUUGAGCUGGCCGGGGAAACGGAGGCAACAGGUGGCCCCGCUCAUGGUGGUAGAUAUCAGAUGGUUCAAGUCGCCAAAACUGGGAUUCGUGAGCUUCAGUGUACGAAAGCAGAUGUCGUAGAGUGCCUCAUUGUCGAGCACCAUGCACUCAUCUGCAUUCUCGACCAACUGGUGCACGGAUAAGGUCGCAUUGUAAGGCUCCACCACCGUGUCCGAUACUUUCGGUGACGGGAACACGGAGAAUGUCAGCAUCAUCCGAUCAGGGUAUUCCUCCCGGAUCUUGGAGAUCAACAGUGUCCCCAUCCCGGAUCCGG